rnacentral:rRNA from 1 species
UACGUAGGGUGCAAGCGUUGUUCGGAAUUACUGGGCGUAAAGAGUGCGUAGGCGGUUCCGCAAGUUUGGUGUGAAAUCUCCCGGCUCAACUGGGAGGGUGCGCCGAAGACUGCGGUGCUUGAGUGUGGGAAAGGUAGGCGGAAUUCCUGGUGUAGCGGUGAAAUGCGUAGAUAUCAGGAGGAACACCGGUGGUGUAGGCGGCUUACUAGACCAUGACUGACGCUGAGGCACGAAAGCGUGGGUAGCAAACAGG